UGGGGAAUAUUGGGCAAUGGGCGCAAGCCUGACCCAGCCAUGCCGCGUGAGUGACGACGGCCUUAGGGUUGUAAAGCUCUUUUGGCGGGGACGAUAAUGACGGUACCCGCAGAAUAAGCCCCGGCUAACUUCGUGCCAGCAGCCGCGGUAAUACGAAGGGGGCUAGCGUUGUUCGGAAUCACUGGGCGUAAAGCGCACGUAGGCGGACUUUCAAGUCAGGGGUGAAAUCCCGGGGCUCAACCUCGGAACUGCCUUUGAUACUGUUGGUCUCGAGUCCGAUAGAGGUGAGUGGAAUUCCUAGUGUAGAGGUGAAAUUCGUAGAUAUUAGGAAGAACACCAGUGGCGAAGGCGGCUCACUGGACCAAUUCUGACGCUGAGGAGCGAAAGCCAGGGGAGCAAACGGGAUUAGAUACCCCCGUAGUCCCUGAGCGGGCUGGCAAGGCGCAU
rnacentral:rRNA from 1 species